rnacentral:rRNA from 1 species
CCUACGGUGCGCUGCAGUGGGGAAUAUUGGGCAAUGGAGGAAACUCUGACCCAGCAACGCCGCGUGAAUGAUGAAGGUCUUCGGAUUGUAAAGUUCUUUUCUAAGGGAAGAAGAAAGUGACGGUACCUUAGGAAUAAGCCUCGGCUAAAUACGUGCCAGCAGCCGCGGUAAUACGGAGGAUGCGAGCGUUAUCCGGAUUUAUUGGAAUGAAAGGGUUCGGAGGCGGACUGUUAAGUCAGCGGAAAAAGCCCGGGGCUCAACCCCGGCGAGCCGUUGAAACUGGCGGUCUUGAGAUGUCGAGAGGUAUGCGGAAUGCGCAGUGUAGCGGUGAAAUGCUUAGAUAUUGCGCAGAACUCCGAUUGCGAAGGCAGCAUACCGGCGGCGAUCUGACGCUGAGGCACGAAAGCGUGGGUAUCGAACAGGAUUAGAUACCCCUGUAGUC